rnacentral:rRNA from 1 species
GUGAACGCUGGCGGUAGGCCUAACACAUGCAAGUCGAACGGCAGCACAGAGGAGCUUGCUCCUUGGGUGGCGAGUGGCGGACGGGUGAGGAAUACAUCGGAAUCUACUCUGUCGUGGGGGAUAACGUAGGGAAACUUACGCUAAUACCGCAUACGACCUACGGGUGAAAGCAGGGGAUCUUCGGACCUUGCGCGAUUGAAUGAGCCGAUGUCGGAUUAGCUAGUUGGCGGGGUAAAG